rfam:Gallaecimonas xiamenensis 3-C-1 contig21, whole genome shotgun sequence.
CAGCAUUUGGGGGCUGCAACCUAGGGGCGGUAGCGUC